rnacentral:rRNA from 1 species
CGGGGGGAGCAAGCGUUGUUCGGAUUUACUGGGCGUAAAGGGCGCGUAGGCGGCCACCGCAAGUCGACUGUGAAAUCUCCGGGCUUAACCCGGAAAGGUCAGCCGAUACUGCGGGGCUGGAGUGCAGAAGGGGCAACUGGAAUUCUCGGUGUAGCGGUGAAAUGCGUAGAUAUCGAGAGGAACACCUGCGGCGAAGGCGGGUUGCUGGGCUGACACUGACGCUGAGGCGCGAAAGCUAGGGGAGCGAACGGGAUUAGAUACCCCGGUAGUCCUAGCCUUAAACGAUGAAUGCUUGGUGUCUGGGGUUUUAUAGUCCCCGGGUGCCGUCGCUAACGCUUUAAGCAUUCCGCCUGGGGAGUACGGUAGCAAGACUG